GGCUUCGUGGUGUAGUGGUCAGCACGCUCGACGCGUAUUCGAGAGGUCCGUGGUUCGAGUCCCGGCGAGGGCA
rnacentral:tRNA from 1 species